CCGAUGUGGCUCAGUUGGUAGAGCAGCUGAUUCGUAAUCAGCAGGUCAGGGGUUCGAGUCCCC
rnacentral:tRNA from 1 species